AAAGGUGACUAAACUAGGUUCUCCGACACCCAAGGGCGAAAUUGUUACAGUAUGUCCGACCUAUGGCUAUCCUUGUAAAAACUACACAGUGGAUGAAUCUGGUAUAAUCAACGCCAUCGUUCCUCCUCACUAUUUUGAGGAUUACUUAUAUUUCUAUUUGUGGGCAGAAGCCCUCGGUGGAUCUCAGGAAGGCAAUUUGGGCUGGCUAUACCCUGGUUCCACCAGCACAUCCCAGAGAAAAUUCUUUUCUCCAUCUCAAUCCAGUCUCAGCCUGGGGUUGCUGCCUAAGUCACACGAAUGUUCAAACUAAUGGAAGAAACAAUCACAAUCCCUGUGAUGUUUGUGGCUAACGACACUUCUUCCAUCGUUCUGCACAUCCAGGUGUUCUCGAGAGGUCAGAUCACCUACACCAGCGAAGAAGUCCACGACUUGACUCCAAAUGACCUACCAAUCAGCGACUCAGAUCUUCUGGAGCCCUUGCAACCACUCAAUGACAGCAGCCUCAUCAGAGGAUACUUCAACAUUGACAUUCCCUUAGGGCCAUUGACUUCA